AACGAACGCUGGCGGCAUGCCUAACACAUGCAAGUCGAACGAGACCUUCGGGUCUAGUGGCGCACGGGUGCGUAACGCGUGGGAACCUGCCCUUAGGUUCGGAAUAACUCCCCGACAGGGGUGCUAAUACCGGAUAAUGUCUUCGGACCAAAGAUUUAUUGCCUUUGGAUGGGCCCGCGUUGGAUUAGCUGGUUGGUAGGAUAAAAGCCUACUAAGGCGACGAUCCAUAACUGGUCUGAGAGGAUGAUCAGCCACACUGGGACAGAGACACGGCCCAGACUCCUACGGAAGGGAGCAGGGGGAAUAUUGGACAAUGGGGGAAGGGCUGAUCCAGCAAUGACGCGUGAGUGAUGAAGGCCUUAGGGUUGUAAAGCUCUUUUACCCGGGAUGAUAAUGACAGUACCGGGAGAAUAAGCUCCGGCUAACUCCGUG
rnacentral:rRNA from 1 species